AGUGAACGCUGGCGGUAGGCCUAACACAUGCAAGUCGAACGGCAGCACAGUAAGAGCUUGCUCUUACGGGUGGCGAGUGGCGGACGGGUGAGGAAUACAUCGGAAUCUACUUUUUCGUGGGGGAUAACGUAGGGAAACUUACGCUAAUACCGUAUACGACCUACGGGUGAAAGCAGGGGAUCUUCGGACCUUGCGCGAUUGAAUGAGCCGAUGUCGGAUUAGCUAGUUGGCGGGGUAAAGGCCCACCAAGGCGACGAUCCGUAGCUGGUCUGAGAGGAUGAUCAGCCACACUGGAACUGAGACACGGUCCAGACUCCUACGGGAGGCAGCAGUGGGGAAUAUUGGACAAUGGGCGAAAGCCUGAUCCAGCCAUACCGCGUGGGUGAAGAAGGCCUUCGGGUGGUAAAGCACUUUUGUUGGGAAAGAAAAGCAGAAGGUUAAUACCCCGCUGUUCUGACGGUACCCAAAGAAUAAGCACCGGCUAACUUCGUG
rnacentral:rRNA from 1 species